UACUAGCGGUCCAAGUCGCAGCCAUUUUUAUUGGGUCUAAAACAUCCGUAGCUUGCUUGAUAAGUUUCCUGUGAAAUCCGACUUCUUAAGAGCCGGACGCGCGGGAAAUACUGUUAAGCUAGAGACUGGAAGACGUGAGAAGUAUGUUCAAAGUAGCGGUAAAAUGUGUUAAUCUUGAGCAGACUAACAAUAGCGAAGGCAUCUCACGAAGACAGUUCUGACAGUAAGGGAUGAAGGCUAGGGGCGCAAAACGGAUUAGAUACCCGCGUA
rnacentral:rRNA from 1 species